AAACCAGCACCUCAAGUGGUCAGGAGGAUUAUUGGGCCUAAAGCAUCCGUAGCCUGUUCUGUAAGUUUUCGGUUAAAUCCAUUAGCUCAACUAAUGGGCCGCCGAAAAUACUGUAGAACUAGGGAGUGGGAGAGGUAGACGGUAUUCGGUAGGAAGGGGUAAAAUCCUUUGAUCUAUUGAGGACCACCUGUGGCGAAGGCGGUCUACCAGAACACGCUCGACGGUGAGGGAUGAAAGCUGGGGGAGCAAACCGGAUUAGAAACCCCUGUAGUCC
rnacentral:rRNA from 1 species